UACGAAGGGGGCUAGCGUUGCUCGGAAUCACUGGGCGUAAAGGGUGCGUAGGCGGGUUUUUAAGUCAGGGGUGAAAUCCUGGAGCUCAACUCCAGAACUGCCUUUGAUACUGAAGAUCUUGAGUCCGGGGAGAGGUGAGUGGAACUGCGAGUGUAGAGGUGAAAUUCGUAGAUAUUGGGAAGAACACCGGUGGCGAAGGCGGCUCACUGGCUCAUUACUGACGCUCAGGCGCGUAGCGUGGGGAUCAAACAGG
rnacentral:rRNA from 1 species